rnacentral:rRNA from 1 species
UCUUGACAUCUUGCGCUAACCUCAGAGAUAAGGCGUUCCCUUCGGGGACGCAAAGACAGGUGGUGCAUGGUCGUCGUCAGCUCGUGUCGUGAGAUGUUGGGUUAAGUCCCGCAACGAGCGCAACCCUUGUUACUAGUUGCCAGCAUUCAGUUGGGCACUCUAGUGAGACUGCCGGUGACAAACCGGAGGAAGGUGGGGACGACGUCCAGAUCAUCAUGCCCCUUAUGACCUGGGCUACACACGUGCUACAAUGGCCGGUACAACGAGCAGCUAACCCGCGAGGGUGUGCAAAUCUCUUAAAGCCGGUCUCAGUUCGGACUGCAGUCUGCAACUCGACUGCACGAAAUCGGAAUCGCUAGUAAUCGCGGAUCAGCAUGCCGCGGUGAAUACGUUCCCGGGCCUUGUACACACCG